rnacentral:lncRNA from 1 species
UGUACUUGGCUACUUGCCACUGUUAAAGAGUAGAAAGGGUGAUUCAGAUAGUGUGCAGUUUCUGAAUAUUCGACUGUCAAUGCUGAUGAUAAUGGCUCAAGGACUGCCCAAUGUAAUCCUUGCUUUGCUAUUAUAAAUUUUAAACAAAACAACGUUUGAUUUGGUCUCUCGGCAAUGUUUAUGUAACAGGCUCACCUUGGUUCACUGCAUUUUGUCAUCUGAAUUGCAGUCCCUCUGUAUCCGAGCAGGUAAAUUAUAGAGAUCAGCCACAUCCCGGUCUAGGGAAGUAUAAAUGCACUAACUGCCAUUAUGGUAGUGUGUUUGAAGAUUCAAAUUUGAAAAUGUUUACAGUGUCCAGGAGAUAGGCCUGAACUUUCCGGCAGAUUCUUGGUAAAGGAAAUCCCUGGUUACACACAUAUAUGGCAGGUACUAAACUUCCUGGAUAGAUAGUUAGGGAACAUCUAGGGGAUUAGCUUCACAGAUCCCUAAAUUAGCAUAUUCCAUGUAGCCUGAUGCAGGGGUACAGAACAACGGCUGGGCUGAGAAUCCCAACGAUGAGGAGAGGACAUUGAGAGGCGCCUUAUUAUUCUUGGGCAAGUUGUCGGCAUGGAUGAACAGCUUAGGCCACCUUGCACAAAGCACUUCUUGAUGUACACCGCUUCCCAUUAACAGAAUUUACACCUCCUAGUCUAUAUUGUGGAUUAACAACAAACAAGAUUUCUGUUACAACCAUGCCUCGCCAACUCAUUUCCAAUACGGGGUAAAUAGAUUGGAGCAAAUGAGUAAGGCUCCAAAACUUACCCAGUGAUGCUUGCACUUGUAGAAAUACUUGCCGGGGUUGUUCUUUGUCCAUGACCCAUCACUAACCUUCUCCAUUGUUGCAGUACGGGCACUUUGAUUAUUUUCUGUCGCAAAUCACAGUCAUGUAAAAUCUCAGAAUUGCCCAGAUUUUUCCCCGCCUAAAAAACCAAGAUUUGAACACCACAAUAUCAUGUUGUACAAAAAAUAUCCAGGAAACCUCAGAGAGAAAAUUCGAGGAAAGAAAAAUUUGAGAGAACAUUGGGUGUCAGAGUUGACGAUGAAAAAAUUUCCAAGAAACCUCAGAGAGAUUUCGAGGAAAGAAAAAUUUGCGAGAAAAAACGAGAAACAAAUACGAUCUGAACACCAUUGGGUGUCAGAGUUGAUCGGGAAAAAAGAUCCAGGAAAACUUAGAGAGAAAAUUCGAGGGACGAAAAUUUACAGAGAGAAUAUCGAGGAAAGAAAAGACGGUCUCGACACUGAGGAUCCUUGCCUAGUCGACGGCCUUCAUCCCCAAAGUCUCAGCCGUGCUGGAUCUGCAGUCACCGGUUCGUGCUUCCACCGUUCCCGGAUCCAACGCUGGCCGUGUGUGGGGUGGGGUUGGAGGUUGAAUCCAUUGGCGGCUGUAGGCGAUGUGCCAGUGGAGCUUCGUCCCGAGCGCCGGCGACGCGUGGGUGGCGUUGGAGGCGGGGCACAACAAGCGUGGAGGAGAAGCACGACGGUGGCUCACGGGGCAGAGGAAGAGAGAUGGAUGGAUAGGGACGAGGGUUCGGCCGUUCAGGGGAGGAGUGAAGGAGAGAAACAGUAGACGGGCUCGGAAAUAUCUAGCCACACACGAGAGAGGAGCAGGCCAAGUUAAUGGAGGGCACUGUUCGUAGCGUGAAGU